GAUGAACGCUGGCGGCGUGCCUAAUACAUGCAAGUCGAGCGAACAGACGAGGAGCUUGCUCCUCUGACGCUAGCGGCGGACGGGUGAGUAACACGUGGAUAACCUACCUAUAAGACUGGGAUAACUUCGGGAAACCGGAGCUAAUACCGGAUAAUAUAUUGAACCGCAUGGUUCAAUAGUGAAAGACGGUUUUGCUGUCACUUAUAGAUGGAUCCGCGCCGCAUUAGCUAGUUGGUAAGGUAACGGCUUACCAAGGCAACGAUGCGUAGCCGACCUGAGAGGGUGAUCGGCCACACUGGAACUGAGACACGGUCCAGACUCCUACGGGAGGCAGCGGUAGGGAAUCUUCCGCAAUGGGCGAAAGCUUGACGGAGCAACGCCGCGUGAGUGAUGAAGGUCUUCGGAUCGUAAAACUCUGUUAUUAGGGAAGAACAAAUGUGUAAGUAACUAUGCACGUCUUGACGGUACCUAAUCAGAAAGCCACGGCUAACUACGUG
rnacentral:rRNA from 1 species